GGCUUACCAUGCAAGUCGAGCGGAGAGAGGUAGCUUGCUACUGAUCUUAGCGGCGGACGGGUGAGUAAUGCUUAGGAAUCUGCCUAUUAGUGGGGGACAACAUUUCGAAAGGAAUGCUAAUACCGCAUACGUCCUACGGGAGAAAAGCAGGGGAUCUUCGGACCUUGCGCUUAAUAGAUGAGCCUUAAGUCGGGAUUAGCUUAGUUGGGUGGGGGUAAAGGCCUACCAAGGCGACGAUCUGGUAGCGGGUUCUGRAGAGGGAUGRAUCCGCCCACCACUGGGGGACUGGAGAACACGGGCCCCAGAACUUCCUACGGGGRAGGCAGCAGUGGGGGAAUAUUGGACAAUGGGCGCCAAGCCUGAUCCAGCCAUGGCCGCGUGGUGUGGAAGAAAGGCCCUUAUGGGUUGUUAAAGCCACUUUUUAAGCCGAAGGAGGGAAGGCUUACCUUUUUAAGUUUAAAUACCCUUAGAAGAAUAGUGGGGACGGUUUAACUUCCGCCAAGAAAAUUAAAAGCCAACCC
rnacentral:rRNA from 1 species